UUACCUAGCAAAGUAGCAAUAAAAGCCUACAAAGAGAAGGCAUCUUCAUUCAUUUCCUUCCUGGAGGCCAACUUGCAAUGUGGGGAGAAGGCGGGAAGGAGAAAUGAGGUUACUGUAGAUCAGGAGACACCAGAAACGGCAAAUGCUGGAAUCCGCAGCGAUAAACUCGAGAAGCUCAGUGGGCAUGCAGAAACAGAAUCAGGUUUAAUACGUCGGUAUAUGUCGUGAAAAUCUGUGGUCUUUGUGUUGGCAGUACAGUGCAAAACAUAAUAAUUGAAAUAGGUGAAUUACAAUCUUAAUGAAGGGUCUUAGCCCAAAACAUCAACUCUCUACUCCUCACCAUAGAUGCUGCCUGGCCUGCUGAGUUCCUCCAGCAUUCUGUGUGCUUGUGACCCAAACUGGGCUGUGAAAUGAAGUAGGAUUACAUUCGUCUUGAAUAUUGAUACUCCUGUUGUUUAGUAUGCACAGACUUAGCUUCACUUGGUUGGCACAUAUUGAAGCAUGUUUAUUCCUGGCAUUUUAUAUCUAUAGAAUAUACCCAUUCUAUACGAGUCCUGAAGAAGGGUCUCGGCCCAAAAUGUUAACUGUUCUUUUCUAUGGGUGCUGCCUGACCUGCUGCGUUCCUCCAGCAGUUGUAUGCCUUCGAGUUUCCAGCAUCUGCAGUCCUACUGCUGUUUAUGUGGCCUAAUCUAUGCUAUUAAUCACAAUAGUGCCAUAAAACACAACAGAGGAUGUCCUUAGUUUGAAUAGGGAAUGUUACAACUAUAGUUAGGAGCAGCAAUGUAGGAGAUAGCGUAAAACUUUACACAAUGCCACCUGUAAGAUUGAGAUUCAAUUCAUACAGUUUUCUGUAACAAUUUUGUACAAUUUCCCAUGACCAUGUGGGUUUUCUCCCACAUUUUAAAUUAGAAAGAGACAGGUUAGUUGUGGGCAUGCUAUAUUGGUGAAUGAAGCAUUGCAACACUUGCAAGCUGCCUCCCUGCAGGUGUUGGGGGUUGAAGCAAAUGACGCAUUUCCACUGCAUGUUUCCAUGUACACGUGAGAAAUAGCCAAUCUUCAAAAGUUAGACCGGUUGCAAAAGAUUGAUUGUAGGAUAACGUCAGUUAAAAUUUUCCCUUGUAAUGUUUUCAAUCCAAGCUCAACCAGCCAUCCUCAGUGUUUAUUCCCGAAAGUGUUACAUUUGAAUGAGAACAGAUUCACCAAUUGAGAGAUUACAGGUUUACUUAACAGCUUUUGACAAACUGCCAUGAGGCUUCGAGGGACAGCGUCAAUAUUGAGCACUCCUUGAUAUAUUCUCGCCAGCAAGCACUUCCAGUUGCAACAAUAUGAAUCUAUUCUAUCAGUGUGACAACACAUAUCCAUAGCUGACGACAAAAAGAGUACUAGUAAGACUCGAUCAGGGAUUCCCAGCCUGGGGUCCACACUGCUUAAAUGGUAUUGGUCAAUGGCAUAAAAAAAGUUGUUUGCCCUGGACUAAAUCAAGCUAUUGUUGUCUAGUCUAAAGGACAAAUCUACUACUUUAAGAUCAGGGCAGGAAUAGAAACCUUUUCAAAUGUCAACUGCUCAGUGUAUACCUUUGAUGUGCUAGAAUCCAGGGCACAGGUCCAUCUCCAAUUGACAAUACAGUGUAUUAAUCUAGAUGUGUUUCUAUCGAUGGCAAUAUUAUACUGAAAUAAUUUGUUAAGUAGAUGCAUGUACAGUUAAACACUGAAAGCAUGACUGACAAAGUGGUAAGAAGAACCCAGUGAUAU